rnacentral:rRNA from 1 species
GGGGAAUUUUGGACAAUGGGGGAAACCCUGAUCCAGCCAUCCCGCGUGUAUGAUGAAGGCCUUCGGGUUGUAAAGUACUUUUGGCAGAGAAGAAAAGGUAUCUCCUAAUACGAGAUACUGCUGACGGUAUCUGCAGAAUAAGCACCGGCUAACUACGUGCCAGCAGCCGCGGUAAUACGUAGGGUGCAAGCGUUAAUCGGAAUUACUGGGCGUAAAGCGUGUGUAGGCGGUUCGGAAAGAAAGAUGUGAAAUCCCAGGGCUCAACCUUGGAACUGCAUUUUUAACUGCCGAGCUAGAGUAUGUCAGAGGGGGGUAGAAUUCCACGUGUAGCAGUGAAAUGCGUAGAUAUGUGGAGGAAUACCGAUGGCGAAGGCAGCCCCCUGGGAUAAUACUGACGCUCAGACACGAAAGCGUGGGGAGCAAACAGGAUUAGAUACCCUGGUAGUCCACGCCCUAAACGAUGUCAACUAGCUGUUGGGGCCGUUAGGCCUUAGUAGCGCAGCUAACGCGUGAAGUUGACCGCCUGGGGAGUACGGUCGCAAGAUUAAAACUCAAAGGAAUUGACGGGGACCCGCACAAGCGGUGGAUGAUGUGGAUUAAUUCGAUGCAACGCGAAAAACCUUACCUACCCUUGACAUGUCUGGAAUCCCGAAGAGAUUUGGGAGUGCUCGCAAGAGAACCGGAACACAGGUGCUGCAUGGCUGUCGUCAGCUCGUGUCGUGAGA